rnacentral:rRNA from 1 species
AGAACGAACGCUGGCGGCAGGCUUAACACAUGCAAGUCGAACGGUUGUAGCAAUACAGCAGUGGCAGACGGGUGAGUAACACGUGGGAACCUUCCUAGGGGUACGGAACAACUCAGGGAAACUUGAGCUAAUACCGUAUACGUCCGUAAGGAGAAAGAUUCAUCGCCCCUAGACGGGCCCGCGUAGGAUUAGGUAGUUGGUGAGGUAACGGCUCACCAAGCCUACGAUCCUUAGCUGAUCUGAGAGGAUGAUCAGCCACACUGGGACUGAGACACGGCCCAGACUCCUACGGGAGGCAGCAGUGGGGAAUCGUUGGACAAGUGGGCGCAAGCCUGAUCCAGCCAUGCCGCGUGAGUGAAGAAGGCCGUUGGGUAGUAAAGCUUCUUUAACGAGGGACGAUAA